UCUAUUUGAAUCGGUCUUAAUUCCUUUAACCAAUUAGUCUAUUUAUCUGAGUCUGAGCAAUGCUUAAUAAUUUUCCAUAUUCUCUGACUCCAACGAUGAAAAAAUAAAUAAAUAUCCUGAAUCAACAUCCUGAUGGGGGAGGAGGAUCGACGAUGCAAGCGAAGCGCCGGACCCAAUCGGUGGCGGUGCGGUGAAAAGGCGUCGCCUGAAAAGUCCUACUGCGACAAGCAUUUGGCUCAACAGGAUAAGCCUUCCCAAAGAAAGAAAGAGAGUUUGAUGUGUCAUCAAUGUCAGCGGAGUGAUAAGAGCGUUGUUGUCUGCUGUUCCAAUUGUAAUAGGAAGCGAUACUGCUAUGAGUGCCUUGAGAAGUGGUACCCUGGGAAGACGAAAGAGGAAGUUGCGAUUGCGUGUCCUUUCUGUUGUGGCAACUGCAAUUGCAAAGCUUGCUUGAGGGAGGUUUUGGUUGUGAAGCCUCGCCAUAAGGAACUUGAUGUCACUGUGAAAUUGCGGCAGCUGUACUACUUGCUACAUAAAACUCUGCCAGUUCUCAGGCAUAUUCACAAUGAGCAGAGAUCUGAACUAGAGAUUGAAUCCAAUAUACGAGGUGUUCAAUUGAAGGAAAUCGAUAUAACAAGAUAUAAACUGGACAAAAAAGAGCGUUUGUACUGUGACAAUUGCAAUACAUCCAUUGUUGAUUACCACCGAAGCUGCCCAAACCCAAGUUGUUCUUAUGAUCUGUGUCUCACUUGUUGUCGAGAGCUAAGGGAAGGUCACCAGCCCGGAGGUAGUGAAGCAGAAACAUCUCAGCAACAGUUUGUAGAAAAAGCUUAUUCUCAAGUUAUUGAUGGAGAUGGCUAUAUUAGUGUGCCAAGGAAAAGGCAUCGGUGUGAGAGCCAAGAGGCCCCUGCUUCCAAUGAUUCUAAAGCUUAUAUGUCCUGUCACUUUCCUGAUUGGAAAGUUAAUGCUGAUGGUAGCAUUCCAUGCCCUCCAAAAGAACGUGGAGGUUGUGGUACUGCAAAACUGGAGUUGAGACGCAAUUUUAAAGCUAACUGGGUAAUGAAGCUGCUGCAGAAUGCAGAGGAUCUUACUAGCAAUUGUAGGUUUCCAAAUGUUGAUUACUCUCAAGGAUGCAGUACAUGCCAGUCAAAUGUUUCUGGGGGGAACAAUAAUAUAGUUUCCAAUGUUAGACUGGCAGCUUUCAGGGAGAAAAGUAACGAUAACUUCUUAUUCUGCCCGGAUGCUUUUGACAUGGCAAAUGAUGAAACCAAUCAUUUUCAGAUACAUUGGAUGAGGGGUGAACCUGUGAUAGUUAGAAAUGUUCUUGACAAGACAUCUGGACUUAGUUGGGAACCUAUGGUCAUGUGGAGGGCUUUUAGAGAAACAGGUGGCAAUGUUAAGUUCAAAGAUGAGACACGAAGUGUGAAGGCCAUUGAUUGCUUGGAUUGGUGUUAGGUUGAGAUUAAUAUUCACCAAUUUUUCAUGGGCUAUUUAGAGGGCCGUAUGCAUAAAGAUAGCUGGCCAGAGAUGUUGAAAUUGAAGGAUUGGCCCUCAUCAACAUUAUUUGAGGAACGUUUGCCCAGGCAUAAUGCUGAAUUUAUUGCAGCACUCCCCUACAGUGACUAUACUGAUCCAAAAUUAGGUCCAUCGAACCUUGCUACUAGACUUCCUGACGACUCACUGAAACCUGAUUUGGGACCCAAAACAUAUAUUGCAUAUGGAUUUCCUGAAGAGCUUGGUAGAGGGGAUUCAGUCACAAAGCUGCACUGUGAUAUGUCUGAUGCGGUUAACUUACUGACACACACGACUAGGGUGAAGAUUGCUCCCUGGCAACAUAAAAGCAUAAGAAAGAUACUAAACAAACAUGCAACUGAAGACUUGCAUGAACUUUAUGGUAGAAUAGAUGAGGCUGGGGAUCGAGUUAGAGGACAGUCACUUAAACGAACUUAUGAACAUGAGAUCACGGUUGCUGAAUGUAUGAAAGGUGAGAAUAUUGUUGAUAAUGACCGGACAAGUGUUAGUACUGAAUCAGAGUAUACAAAUGUUCAGAUGCUUGAACAUCAAAGGAAUAAGAUGAAAAAAUCCAAUUUCUCUAGAUGUGGUGACAUUUGUGAGACAGACUCAUUUCUAGAAGGUAAUGACACAAGGAUGCAAUGUCUGAAUAAGCAGUGCUCUGAAUUGGAGGAAAGCUCUUUACAAAGAAAUUUAUAUGAUAAGAAAAAGUUGUUUACUGAGACUGUGGAUCAGAAAUCAAGGACAUUGGAUUUUGAUGUGAAGGCAGUUAAAUAUCUUUCAGCAAAGGACCAAGGGGAGGAUCCAGGAUCAAAAAAGUCAAGUCCAGAGCCAUCAAGAGAUUCUCAUGAGAGUAAAAAACGGUUGGAGGUUGCCCAUGGUGGUGCUGUUUGGGACAUCUUCCGCAGGCAGGAUGUUCCUAAGUUAAUUAAAUACUUGGAAAAGCACAAAGAGGAAUUUCGCCACAUCAAAAAUCUUCCUGUAAAAUCAGUUGUUCAUCCUAUUCAUGAUCAGACUCUUUUCUUGAAUGAGAGACAUAAAAAACAACUGAAGGAGGAGUUUAAUAUAGAACCUUGGACAUUUGAGCAAUACCUUGGUGAAGCCGUUUUUAUUCCAGCAGGGUGCCCUCAUCAAGUGAGAAAUAGACAAUCUUGCAUAAAGGUGGCACUUGAUUUUGUAUCUCCUGAAAAUGUUGAAGAAUGUAUUCGGCUAACUGAAGAGUUUCAGUUGCUUCCAAAGAAGCAUAGAGCUAAGGAAGACAAGUUGGAGGUUAAAAAGAUGACACUUUAUGCUGUGAGUUGGGCUCUGAGAGAAGCCAAAGGUCUAUUGCCAAAUCUUGAUAAAUCGAACCAACAACAGGAAGAGUAAAAGCACCAGAUGGUUUUUCUGCCACUAUCUGUACAGAUUGGGAAUCUACUUUCUUAAUGCCGUUGCACUGUGCCCUUUUACAAUGUUGUUCUUAACAAAAGACAGUAAUUCUUGUUAAAACAAACUGUGGCUGAUCCCUAAUCUAUUGUAAUAAAGCCCGCCAUAAUUUUUUCAAAACAAUUUUUUCUUUUUCUUUUUUAAACUCAAGAUGAGAAAUAACACAUUUUUA